ACCCUCUGCUCCUUGACUAGAAAUGCAUCGGGACAAGCUGCCUGAAGCCCUGGCUGCCAAGAAGUCGUGGUCUCCAAACUGUGAGCUGAAACAAGCUCUUUCUUCCUGAUUUGAUUUUGUCAGUUUUUUGGUUUGUUUGUUUGUUUUUUUCCAUCAAGAUGAGAACGAACUAAAAACAGGACGCAAUUCCCCUUCCUGAUUUUCUCCGGGAGGAAAUGAGCAAAGCAUUCUGUUUUAUUAAGGUGACUUUACACAGCAACAGACCUAAGCCUGAACUGAAACCGGAAAUUGUAAGAGCUCACUCCCUGGAAAGCAAAUCAUGUUCCUUCGAACGGAGCCAGAUACGCAUGUCUCCUGAGAGGCUCUGCCAGGGUCCUACUGAUACAGAUGAGGAUGGUUGCAGCUAACCAUUGGACUGAACAAGGGCACCCCAAUGGAGGAGUUAGAGAAAAGACUGAAGGAGCUGAAGGGUUUUGCAACACCAUAGGAAGAACAACAAUAUCAACCAACCAAAGCCCACCAGAGCUCCCAGGGAUUAAACCAUCAACCAGUGAGUGCCCAUGACUCCAGCCACAUAUGUGGCAGAGGAUGGCGUUGUCAGCAUCAAAGGGAGGAAAAGCCCUUGGUCCUGUGAAGGCUUGUUUCCCCAUAGUAGGAUAACACCAGGGCACUGAGGUUGGUAUGGGUGGGUGGGAAUGAAGCACCUUCAUAGAAGCGGGGGGGGUAUGGGAGAAGGGGGAAGGUAGAUAACAUUUGAAAUGUAAAUACAUAAAAUAGCCAA